AACGAACGCUGGCGGCAGGCUUAACACAUGCAAGUCGAGCGGAGCGAGGGUGCUUGCACCUUAGCUUAGCGGCGGACGGGUGAGUAAUGCUUAGGAGCCUGCCUAUUAGUGGGGGACAACAUUCCGAAAGGGAUGCUAAUACCGCAUACGCCCUACGGGGGAAAGCAGGGGAUCUUCGGACCUUGCGCUAAUAGAUGAGCCUAAGUCGGAUUAGCUAGUUGGUGGGGUAAAGGCCUACCAAGGCGACGAUCUGUAGCGGGUCUGAGAGGAUGAUCCGCCACACUGGGACUGAGACACGGCCCAGACUCCUACGGGAGGCAGCAGUGGGGAAUAUUGGACAAUGGGCGGAAGCCCGAUCCAGCCAUGCCGCGUGUGUGAAGAAGGCCUUUUGGUUGUAAAGCACUUUAAGCGAGGAGGAGGCUACUAGUAUUAAUACUACUGGAUAGUGGACGUUACUCGCAGAAUAAGCACCGGCUAACUCUGUGCCAGCCGCCGCAGUAAUAC
rnacentral:rRNA from 1 species